rnacentral:tRNA from 1 species
UCGGUAGCUUAGUUGGUAAAGCGCUCGUCUAGCAUACAAGAGUCCUGGGUUUAAAUCCCAGCCGA